rnacentral:tRNA from 1 species
GUGGAUGUAGCUCAAUUGGUUAGAGCAUCGGAUUGUGGUUCCGAGGGUUGUGGGUUCGAAACCCAUCUUCCACC